rnacentral:misc_RNA from 1 species
CUUCUCCUUCUUCAAUUUUACUUUCGUAAUUGUUUUAUUCUUAUUUUAUUCUUGGAUCUCUUUUCUCAGAUUGCUGCUCAAUUUGAUACAAUGCUAAGUUGCAAGCAACCAACCAAAUGGGUACCGAAACAUCAUGUUGCAGCCAUGGCAUUCCCAUUUGGCAGCCACCCUAUUGCUCUCCUCAACCUAGUCAAGAAGCUAGCAAUGGCCGCCCCAGACACCCAGUUUUCUUUUUUAAGCACAGAAGACUCCAACAAUUUUCUCUUCUCGGCGUCAAAAGCAACCGACCUUCCUAAUAACAUAAAACCCUGCAAUGUUUCUGAUGGUGUGCCAAUGAAUCA